AGGACAAUACCGAUGCUGUCAUUCCUAAGAUUGGGCACUUCGGAGAAAUGGAUUCGAAUGACUUUGCACCCUCCGUGCCAUCGGCUCCCUUUGGAAUGAAUGCCCAAGCCGAUGAUGCGAACCCUUGGAUGGAUUACCCGAUUGACGAUCCUCUCCAAAAUGAUUACUGCUCAGAUUUCUUAUCUGAGUUUACUAGUGUCCAUCUUAAUUCUCACUCUUU
rnacentral:misc_RNA from 1 species